rnacentral:lncRNA from 1 species
AGAUUUAUCAAAUACAAUAGAAGAUUAGUCUCCGAAUACAAUUCAUCAUAUUAGUCUCCGAAUUCAAAAUACCGAACAAAGUUAGAACAUUACAAGUCUCGAGACCGCAAGUAGCGAGUUUGUCUUCACAUUACAAGUCGAUAUCUAAACUACCAUCACAUAGAAGAGAGCUGCUGUCACGAUGAGCAUCAUCGUGAUGAAACUGGUCUUCAUCCGGUUCCUCUAACGCUCCCCCCUCUCUCCCGUUAGAUAGCGCGCGUAUCUAGCUUCCGCCUCCGCCCUAGUGGUGUACCCUUUGUAACUGUUACCGCUGAAACGGUGAACCUGUCUACGACAAUCCUCCAAGUCGUCGUAGACUCCGGGAACCUUACCCUUGUACACGACAUACGACGGCAUCUCUAUGCGCUAGACAAACAAAACAUUAGUAACAAUUCACAGAUAACAUAUAAGCAAUAUGUAAGUAUGCAACAAAAGGAUCGGAAGAGAAAAGCAACACAUUAAUAGCACGAUUCAUGGUCCUACUGAUAAAUAGCAUCGAUUACAUAUAAGUUGAACGACUGUCCAAACAAAGAGACAUACAAGUUCAUUAAAGUUUAAUUACAACAUGAGCUAAUCGAUAUUUCAGAACUACAUAGCAUCAAUACUUUCGACUCGACUCAGGGACCGGAGCGUGGAUGAAGCCGCCGUCUAUCGUGAUGGUCAUGAAUGUGUGGUCGUUGUCAGCCUGCAUUUGUAGCAUUGUAUCUAUUUCACUGUUGGAUGGUUGAUGUUUGAGGUAGAACUGCCCUGAGGUACGAAGGACAUCUUGAUAGAUGAUUUCCACAAACUCCGACUGGAUGCGAAAGAAUUCUUGUCUGAUGUUAGCAUCCUGGAUUGCCGACAAGCGUGCGGCCCAAUAUUUGAGAUUUGUUGGUAGCAGAAGGUGAUUAUGGUCCCUUACGAUCGCCCGCAUGUGAUGGAGGGCGUAGUAGGCAUCCUUCUGACAGCCAGGCGGUUGCUUGACGUAGGGGAACAAUGUUACGUGGGUGAACACGUGCUUGCCGUACCUACAAAUUGGCCUCCUGAAGGUGCCUCCAGAUUUGGCUUAGCCGGGGAGAGCAUCAUCAAGAACUUUCCUGAUAUUUGUGUAGUCUUUCUUCAACUGACGGUCCGAGUCGAAAUACGUGGCCAUGGAAUAUUUCGGGCUAAAGAGGAUGAGUGUGCAAUGUGUGUCACUACACAAAACACGGAAUGUUGAAAAAAAGAACGAUCGAAAUCUAAGUAAUCAUAUGUUACGGGGUGGUGAGGGGAUGACUUACUCAGGAAAGUAAGGCACGAGGAAGUUCUCCUUAUCUGUGUUCGCCAGAAUGACGCCUUCAUGGUAUGAACUCGUGACUUGCCGGUCCCUAACACUGCCUAAGAUCUUGGCACGCAUGUAGAAUGGGUCGACUAUCACGAUGUCCGGGGUCUUGUCUCUAAUGAUCCACAUCUCCAUACUGAGCGAAAAUAGCCGAAUGAAGGUGUAGUGCAGCGAAUGAGGGUUAAACAUAGCGAAGAUGUCAUCAAACCGCAGGCCGAUCAUACCCCCGAUGGUGCUAUCGACAAAGCCCUUGCCCUCUGGCACCUUGGCCACAAAAACUGGGUAUGCCACAUCAUUCUUGGAGAGACGCCACUUCUCCAUAGAAAGAACACUGUCAUGCAGACUCCGCAUAGCACCGGUUGCAGCAUUGAGCAGAUUAGUUGGUAGCAUCGGCCUACCUGCCACAUGCACCCUCCUCGAGAUAUCCUUAGUUGAAGGUGGCCCGUCCUGAGCAGGAUUGUACUCGGUGCCGGCUGGCUCGCACCCUUGUUAUUCUUUCUUUUCUGUCCCUUCUUUUUCUUCUGCUGUAAUGGGAUCAAGUUCUGCUCAGAGACCGCCUUCUUGAAUGUGUUGGGGCUGAUAAUAUUUUGCACCUCGGCUAUCUGAGGCUCGGUGAAGGCAGCAGCUGGAGGUGUCUCUUGAGAACUGAACGCCAGACGAUGCUUGUUGCAAUUGGGUUUCUCCGCGGUACCAGCUAGAUCGCAAUCAUCUUUUUUAGGAUUGGGUUCUUGAGAAGGAGGCCCCAAGAAUUCGUCACCGUACCCAUGUUCGUUGAAGUACUUAUCGACGUUGGAAAAUGUAUCGGCAUUGUCGUCCGGAUCUUGUACCGUCGUUGUCAUCCGGAUCUUGUCCAGAUCAGCUGAUGGCGGUAGUGUUGCGGCGGUCUUGCCAUGGCUUGGUGCCGGCAUGACUGGCGGUGUUGUCUGUGGGGUGGUGUCCCCUGCCCCCAAAUGAAUCUUGCUCUUCGGCCAAAGCAGGGGCCAGCUUAAGCAGGCAUUGAGGGUCAUCACAUCAUCUUCGUCGACCCCAAGGGGUCGAAACGGAGGUAACAAGUCAUCGCAGCCCCGCAACACCCAAAACAGUUGAACCCAAUACACGAUGGGUGGCAUCGGAUUACCGUGGAACACGCGGUUUCCCGGUUGAACGGUUCUGGCUUUGGCGAAAUCGAUCAACUCGCCGUCCAUGAAGUGCAGGAGGGUGCAUGGAAUGUCGGCGGCGCCCUGCGAAAACGUGUAGGGUGUUAGGGAUGCCCAGUCAAAGGCAAGGAGAUGAAGUCAUCGGUCGAGGCUUAGUUACCGUGAUGGCGCCGAGCUUGGCUAAUGUCGAGGCACUUCCAACAGCGGGCGUGCAAGUGGUGGAGGGGUUGCUUGCUGCCAAGGUGCCAGCCGGCGUAUUCUUCCGACAACUGGGUGCAUUAAGCUCCAAUGCCGGCGCCGGGGCCGGAGACACCAAUGCCACCUCCGCCGGAGACACCAAUGGCGCUGGUGCGUUGUGCAAGUUGCUGCCUGUGAAGCUGGGAGUCGGCGGCACCAUCAGUGGUGUCAUCCCCGAUGCCACUAGGGGUUGUUUAGUCGGGAUCGGUGUCUUCCACGGCGUCCUCAUAGCAUUGAGGUUCUUCCUCUAUCUCCUGGGACAGCUCCCAGAAUUGCUUGCCCAAACCGCCAGCCUCAUUGUUGUUGGCCAUGUUCACUAUAAAUAGGAAAAAAGGCUACUAGAGUUAUUUCUUAAAUGAAGUCUAGGAAAAAAGCCUACUCAACUUGACCGUGGAGACCUUCAGUUGUCCACUUGCAAAAUCAAGAAGGUACACUUGUGAUUGUUAUUUUCUUGCAUUUAUAUAGAUGCUUGCACCAGAAUCUAUCUAUCUGAACUUGGUAUUCUUAAAAUCUGAACAUCUAUGUUAUGUCUCCAUGAUCUUCCAUCUACUCCUAUAGGUAUUCUUCUACUUAUUCUUUUUCAGGGACAAUUGUUUCUGCUUGUGGCAUCUACUUAUUAAACCAACAUUUAAACUAUGAGCUUACAUCGUGAAUCUGAACAAUAGGAGUAACUAGACUGCAUUUUACAGGAGUACACUACUAGAGUUAACGAAUUGGGCAUCAUCUAGGUCAAACUAUAAAUGUUGAUUAUUUUUUGUUUCGGUUGAGAAUCGGGCACCUUCUAGGUCAAGAAAAUUGGGCAUGACCUUUGCUAAUUUUCUUAACCUAGGAGUGCCCCAUUCUCAACUGAAACGAAAAUUAAUCAACAUUUCGGGAGAAAGGGGUCAUUUCAGAAGAUCACAAGUUCAGAAGAUCUACAGUAGCAGCAGCAUCACAAGUUGACAAAAUUCAGUGAAUAUAAUGAUCAACUCUACAGUAGCAGCAGCAUCACAAGAAGUACAACAGCAUCAUCAUCACAAGUAGUACAGCAGCAGCAGUGAAUACAGUUUUUAUAGCAGGAUUCAUAAUCAAGCAAAGUUGUCCAUCCGAGAAGAAUUUGGCAUACUUAAUCUGAAUUAUCUUGUGUGUGUGAUAUGUUCACUGCAACAGGGUGUGGAGAUUAGGGAUCAAAGCCAUUUCGUUACGGAGGAAAACAUCGACAGGCUCAGAAACGCCAGAGGCUAACAGGGUGCAGGUAUGUAUACUAUUGUCCGUCUGUCAACACUGCUUUCUUGUUCACUUCCAUAUCAUAUCCUUCCCCACUUGAAACAAACAAAUCCUCUAUAUGUAUGUUCAGGCCUCGGGUGACUCGCUUUGCACAUGACCUGGGCAACUUGAUCAUUUCCUUACCACUAAAGUUUUAACUGUCACACAUGUUGUAGAUUCAGAAUGCCUCGCCUACUUUGUCAUACUACUACGACCUGUGUUCGUUUGUAAAAAUAAAUCAAUCCAUAGGAUAAAAACUGUAGAACAUUCAUUCAUCACGAAGUAGAUAGUGUUGCUAGCUCCUGAAUCAUUGUUGCAUAUUUUAGACAGAACCAAAAGAGAAACAUUACAUUUCAUAAAUUUGUACGAUAAGCAUUUAUUAGUUUGGUAUUUUAUUUAGCGAGUGUGCUAUUUCAUUAGUUUGGUAUUCUUACAGCUCAUGAACACUUGGGUAGACAAAAUGCAUUUAUUUAUUUUUGAAGCGAAAACGGAAACAAAAGCAGUGUCAACAAGUACCAACUGAAGGUUAUAGAACCAAAUCAGGGGGUCAAGUUCCCCCCUGACAACACAAACCUACAUAAUUUGAGAACAGAGCAAAAAUGGGCCGGCCUUAUUUCCAACCAGGGGGUCAAGUACCAACUCCAGGUUACAGAACCAAACCAGGGGUUCCCCAUUUUCCAAAAUGCAGUUUUUAUUUAUGUCAGCCUUAUUUCCAACCAAAUCCAUGAUCAUAUCUCAUACACUUGCUACUGUGUCCAUCACAAUUGAUUCAAAUAAAAUUACAAAGUAAUGGACAGAUGCAAACUGAACCAAAUAUGUAACAGAACAUGCAAUUGUUCCUGAAGAUGCAAUUGCGGGAGGGAGGGGAACCAAUACCUGGUCGCUGAUGUCGUUUUUGCAUGAGGAGGAGAUCAGCAGGGGCACACCGGAGCACCUUCAUGCCGGACUGCCAGAGCACCUCGCCGCCGGAGGAGCCAGCCUUGGACAACAGAGAAAUAGGCCGGUCAGAGAGAGAGGUACCUGCCG